UAAGCCUACGGGAGGCAGCAGUGAGGAAUAUUGGUCAAUGGGCUUACGCCUGAACCAGCCAAGUCGCGUGAGGGAAGACUGCCCUAUGGGUUGUAAACCUCUUUUGUCAGGGAGCAACGCCGGCUACGUGUAGCCGGACUGAGAGUACCUGAAGAAAAAGCAUCGGCUAACUCCGUGCCAGCAGCCGCGGUAAUACGGAGGAUGCGAGCGUUAUCCGGAUUUAUUGGGUUUAAAGGGUGCGUAGGCGGAAUGCCAAGUCAGCGGUAAAAUCGCGGUGCUCAACGCCGUAGAGCCGUUGAAACUGG
rnacentral:rRNA from 1 species